UACGCUCCCCUCAAGGUAGACGAACAACAUAACCACGGAGAAAUGGCAGUUUGAAAAUAAAAUGUGAACGACGGACGUCAACGCUCAGUUCUGUGUGUCAUAAACGAAAAACUAACGCAACAAUAAAAGGACAGAUCCAGUGGCUACAUCGGUUAUUUGGUGAGAAUCCUGAAGGCCCAUUUCAGCACAGAGAAUGUGGGAAAAAGACCAGCGACUGGCUGUUAUUCCUACCGCGUCUUGAUGGAGGGAAAAAAUGGCGCGGUCGUCAAAAAAAAAAGAAGAAGAAAGGAAGAAGAAGAAUGGCCAACCCCUAUCCCCCUCUCCCUAACCUCCCGCA